ensembl:lncRNA
AUGAUAUUUGCACUCUGGCUACAGUGUGACAUACACGAUUGUUCCGGUAUUUUCACAGGGUCUGUAGGAAUUAAGUGAUCUUUGAGACCUCAACUUUGUGUCAAACCUUGUUACAAUUUGCCAACAGGUUGAACAGCUACUACUGGAACUCAUGCGCAUGUACCCAUACACAACCACUGUGAUUGCACAAGUUUCAUUUCCUUAGGAAACCAGACUGAAAACAGAAGGCAAAAAUAGGGAACUCAAAAUUGUCUUCCAGUACAGUAUACCACAUACAUUCUAAAGAGGCACAUGCCCUACCACCUGUGCAGGAACAAACAACCUGAAAAGCACCUUGAGCUGCUGUGUCACAGAACAAAGACUCCUGGGUACACCUGCUUUGGACAUGGAAUGUGUGAACAUUGCUUGGAAAAAAUAGCUCAACUGUGAAUAGAUAUUUGAUAAAUAGGCCGUAGUCAUUAUGAUAUUAUCAAAUGCAAGCAAAUCCACAUCCUCAUCUUGGUGAAUUUAACAAGGGAAGAUGGCUUAUGUAUCUACUGGUACUGUUCAUAGUUUGAUACUUCAUCUUCUCUAUCUAGAGAAGGUAAGAAAAUUUUCUCUUAAUUUUACUACCAGGAAUGGUUUUAUUAAGUUAGCUGAAAUACAUAGAAAUAUCCAGUUGGUAGCAAGUAGUGGCUUGGAAAAAUUCUGCUUUAAUAGUUGAUGCUUGCUAGUUUUAAACAGGAAAGAGUUGAAAAUAGUGAGGAUAUACAAAUAAAGUCAGUAAUAUUGUUUUUAAACUGUUGUUGUACUCUGUUCUUAUAUGCUCUGCUUUUAUUUUGACACAAUCUGUAUGAGCACUUUUAAAAAAUGUGCUAUGAUACAUAAUUAAAGUGAGCUUCUGGG